rnacentral:lncRNA from 1 species
GGCGCGGCCCGGCCCGGAACUGCCCUUCCCCCCCGGCGCCCGCGAGCGCCGCCGCGCUUCCCGCUCCAACGCCGCCUCCGCCGCCUUCUCCUCGCCCCGCCCGCCGGCCCGCGAGCACAAGGCUCACCGCCGAACCGGCCACCUGAGAGAGAGCGCGGCCCCGGCGCCCCGUCAGGUCAUGGAUCCUCGCGGGAACUCGGCGCGCCGCCUGCAGAGACACAGAGGGAGAAGAGAGUUACCGCCGGAGUUCGGGGGGGAGCAGAGGCUGAGGCAACCGUCUUUCCAGCUCGGCCCACGAGGGCUACCUCCAGCCGCCGCCCCGAACACGGACUCCCUCCGGCCUCCACCGCCUCCUCCCAGCUCUGCCGCCGCCGCCGCUGCCGGAAAAGGCGCGGAGGCAACCGCCUCACUUCCCCUCCCGUCCACGCAGGCGCAACGCGACCAACCGUUCGGACAAGAGCGACCUCUGUAAGAAGAACAGCCCGCGCGCCUCGCGUCACGAGCGCCACGCGCCGAGGGGGCGGGGCUACGGCGUCUCUGAAGGGCCGCGAAGUGCGGCCUGCGCGCAACCGGCCCACCUCGGGCGCCGCCCUGCUCCCACUUGUCGCGGCUCGCUCCCAGAGUCUCUCCUUCACUCUGUAUCCCGCUCUCCCGCGACUCCCCCCCAGCUGCUUCCAGGCCUGUCCCCAAAUCCUCGGAGCCCGCCAGAUGCGCCCAGCGAAGCCAAGUUCGCGGCGCUUUGCUUUUCCCCGGCCCCUUGUCGGCUUCCUUGAUCCCCGGAGACCUGCAUUUCCUAUGGGACACGUGGGAGUCCAGUGUUCCGGGUGGAAUCGGCCGGGCAAAGCACCCCACGUGUUUGCUGGGGACAGUGUCACAGCCUAUUUUUUGAAUACUCCGUGCCAGCAAAAGAUAGCUUUCUUGGGAGAAGAAAGAAGUCGGUGUGUGGAGAAGAACAGAGACCAGCCCCACGUUUCCGGCGCCCUCCGUGGGUCUGUCUGCACGCCGGCGCUUGAGUUUCUCGACACACACACUUUAUGUUCAUUCCCGUGACACGCUGUAACUUUGUGUUCAUUACCUUUCCUUGUCCUAAAGCAAGCUCCAGUAUAGGCUUCUGUUACAUAUACACAGAAGUUGUAGCUUUGCACAGGGUGUCAAGAAAAAGUACUAUGCAGGCACAACAAAAAGCUGAACAAUCAAAUGAAAUAAAUGCAUCAAAAUCACAGACUUUAACACUUCAAGGGAAUUAUAAUAUAUAGCUACAAUAACAAUAUAUAGUUAUAUACUUCUGCCCUUAUUAUAUCAUAAAACCACCAUAGAAUCAGAGGGAACAGGAGUGGACUAUUAAAAAGUCUAUUCCUGGGCUGAGGAUUUAGCUCAGUGGUUCCGCCACCUGCCUCGCCAGCGCAAGGACCGGAGUUUGAUCCCCGGUACCAAAAAACAAAACAAACAGAAAAACAAACCUAAAAAGUCUAUUUCCAAUGAUGAGUGUUAUCAUUAUGUAUAUCUAAAAUGUACCAAUAAAUGUUUUGCUUAAAAUAAGAAAAGUAUAAUUCUGUUUAUAAAGAGCAGCAAACAGGUCUGUGACCCAGCUUUUUGACUCAUCUAUAAAUUGCUUCAUAAACCUCUUAGAAUAUUUAUUAUUUAUCUAUUUAUUGUUUGUUG